rnacentral:rRNA from 1 species
AACGAACGCUGGCGGCAUGCCUAACACAUGCAAGUCGAACGAAGUCUUCGGACUUAGUGGCGCACGGGUGCGUAACGCGUGGGAAUCUGCCCUUGGGUGCGGAAUAACUUCUCGAAAGGGAUGCUAAUACCGCAUAAUGUCGUAAGACCAAAGAUUUAUCGCCCAAGGAUGAGCCCGCGUAAGAUUAGCUAGUUGGUGGGGUAAAAGCCUACCAAGGCGACGAUCUUUAGCUGGUCUGAGAGGAUGAUCAGCCACACUGGGACUGAGACACGGCCCAGACUCCUACGGGAGGCAGCAGUGGGGAAUAUUGGACAAUGGGCGAAAGCCUGAUCCAGCAAUGCCGCGUGAGUGAUGAAGGCCCUAGGGUUGUAAAGCUCUUUUACCAGGGAUGAUGAUGACAGUACCUGGAGAAUAAGCUCCGGCUAACUCCGUGCCAGCAGCCGCGGUAAU